CAGCCCUUGACAUCCCGUGUUACCCGUAGAGAUAUGGGGUCCACUUCGGUGGCGCGGAGACAGGUGCUGCAUGGCUGUCGUCAGCUCGUGUCGUGAGAUGUUGGGUUAAGUCCCGCAACGAGCGCAACCCUCGCCCUUAGUUGCCAGCAUUUAGUUGGGCACUCUAAGGGGACUGCCGGUGAUAAGCCGAGAGGAAGGUGGGGAUGACGUCAAGUCCUCAUGGCCCUUACGGGCUGGGCUACACACGUGCUACAAUGGUGGUGACAGUGGGCAGCGAGCACGCGAGUGUGAGCUAAUCUCCAAAAGCCAUCUCAGUUCGGAUUGCACUCUGCAACUCGAGUGCAUGAAGUUGGAAUCGCUAGUAAUCGCGGAUCAGCAUGCCGCGGUGAAUACGUUCCC
rnacentral:rRNA from 1 species